UACGUAGGGGGCAAGCGUUGUCCGGAUUUACUGGGCGUAAAGCGCGCGUAGGCGGAUGUUUAAGUGUGGCCUGAAAGCCCCCGGCUCAACCGGGGAGGGUGGCUGCAAACUGGGCAUCGUUGAGGGGGAUAGAGGAGAGUGGAAUUCCGGGUGUAGCGGUGAAAUGCGUAGAUAUCGGAGGAACACCGGUGGCGAAGGCGGCAUCCUGGACCAACACUGACGCUGAGUGAGCGAAAGCCAGGGGAGCAA
rnacentral:rRNA from 1 species